rnacentral:rRNA from 1 species
UACGGGGGGAGCAAGCGUUGUUCGGAUUUACUGGGCGUAAAGGGCGCGUAGGCGGCCUGUGCAAGUCAGUUGUGAAAUCUCCGGGCUUAACUCGGAACGGUCAACUGAUACUGCUCGGCUAGAGUGCGGAAGGGGCAACUGGAAUUCUUGGUGUAGCGGUGAAAUGCGUAGAUAUCGGGAGGAACACCAGUGGCGAAGGCAGCUCGCUGGGACGGUACUGACGCUGAGGCGCGAAAGCGUGGGGAGCGAACAGG